rnacentral:sRNA from 1 species
ACCAGACAUGGUAGCGUACAUCUGUAAUCCUAGCAUCUUGGGAGGCUGAGGCAGGAGGAUCACAAGUUUGAGGCCAGCCUCAGCAACUUGGUGAGACCCUGUUUCAA